rnacentral:tRNA from 1 species
GGUUCCAUAGUGUAGCGGUUAGCAUGUCUGCUUUACACACAGAAGGUCCUGGGUUCGCAUGCCAGUGGAGCCA